rnacentral:lncRNA from 1 species
AAACGCAAAGAGAUGCAAAGAGAAAUGGGAAAACAUAAACAAAUACUACAAAAAAGUUAAAGAAAGCAACAAGAAACGUCCUCAAGAUGCUAAGACAUGUCCUUAUUAUCACCGCCUUGAUCUUCUUUACCGCAGCAAAGUACUCGGUAGUGGUGCCGGUUCUAGCACUUCUGCUCUACCUCAAGACCAAAUAUCAAAUAUACAAAAGCAGAGUCCGGUCUCUGCAAUGAAGCCGUCACAAGAAGGGGAUGUUAACGUCCAUCAAGGAGAAGAACCAAGAGAGGAAACUCCACAAGGAGCGGAGAAGGUACAAACUUGGCUUAUCAUUUUCAAAAUGUGAAUUGGUUUUGUUUCUUAACAGCUAAAAAUCUUGAUUUGUUGGAAUUGAAGCCAGAAGACCUUGUGAUGAGAGAGCUGAUGCAACAAAAACAACAACAAGAAGAAGAUUCAAUGAUAGGCGAGUAUGAAAAGAUUGAGGCGUCUCACAACUAUAACAUGGAAGAAGAAGAGAUGGAUGAAGAACUAGACGAGGAUGAGAAAUCCGCGGCUUAUGAGAUUGCAUUUCAGAGCCCUGCAAACAGAGGAGGUAAUGGCCACUCUGAGCCACCUUUCUUGACAAUGGUUCAGUAAAUCAGAAUCACUGUUCUUCAAAUUAUACCCUUGUACCAAGAAAAUGUACUUAUGUGUGCAUAGCUUCUAAACAACACCAAAAACCUCAAAAACACACACACAUCUGACCCAAGAAACUGAAAAUCGAGGUCUCAUCAAUCUUGAUUUUCCAGUGAAUACAAUUCUUUCUUUCACAUUAUUUCCCUUGUUCCUUUUCUUUCUCAGUCUCUUGUUUGUUUCUCUGUUCAUUGUUUUCUUCUUCAGCACACACACCCCCCCACCCACAUAAACAAAAACUCUAGCUAAAGGUCUUUUAGUUUAUUUGGAGUUGUAAUUCAUCAGCAAGUCUCAUACUUUUUCUCUUCUUAAAACAUUUGUUGAUUGGUUAAUUGGGGAAUAAAAGAGUCUUUUAUCUUCUCAAUUCCCCGUUUUCUCUCUAACCCAAACGCCACCACCGUCCCAACCGCUUCCACCGCACACAGUCUCCUUUACUCCCAAUCCAUUGCCUCCUCCUCCUCCUCCUUCAGUAGAUCCCCCAUUUCCCGGAGGUACCUUCUCUUCUCACAGCUCAUCGACGGCUUCAGGAAUGGGGUCUGAUGAUGACGACGACAUGGACGUGGAUCAGGCGGGUCCCAGUAGCCACAAACGCAAACGUGAAAACCGAGGCACUGGAGGCGGCAAGAUGAUGGAACUAUUCCAAGGUUUGGUGAGACAAGUGAUGCAGAAACAAGCGGCGAUGCAACGGAGCUUUCUCGAGGCGCUUGAGAAGAGAGAACAAGAACGUCUUGCUCGAGAAGAAGCUUGGAAACGCCAAGAGAUGUCUCGGUUAGCUCGAGAGCACGAGAUCAUGACUCAAGAACGAGCGGCUUCUUCUUCCCGUGACGCUGCAAUCAUCUCGUUGAUCCAGAAAAUUACUGGCCAUACCAUUCAGUUACCUCCUUCUUUAUCAUCACAACCGUCUCCGCCGCCACCUGCCGCUAAACAUCCUUCAUCACAAGCUGUAGAACCACCUCAUUCUCAACCAAUAAUGGCGAUUCCACAACAACAAGUUCUUCCUCCUCCUCAACCACCACCACCACAACAACAACAACAAGAGAUGAUUAUGAGCUCGGAUCAAUCGUUACCGUCAUCAUCGAGAUGGCCAAAGGAGGAGAUUCUUGCUCUUAUAAACCUGAGGAGCGGAAUGGAACCAAGGUACCAAGAUAAUGUCCCUAAAGGACUUUUAUGGGAAGAGAUCUCAUCUUCAAUGAAGAGAAUGGGAUACAACAGAAACGCAAAGAGAUGCAAAGAGAAAUGGGAAAACAUAAACAAAUACUACAAAAAAGUUAAAGAAAGCAACAAGAAACGUCCUCAAGAUGCUAAGACAUGUCCUUAUUAUCACCGCCUUGAUCUUCUUUACCGCAGCAAAGUACUCGGUAGUGGUGCCGGUUCUAGCACUUCUGCUCUACCUCAAGACCAAAUAUCAAAUAUACAAAAGCAGAGUCCGGUCUCUGCAAUGAAGCCGUCACAAGAAGGGGAUGUUAACGUCCAUCAAGGAGAAGAACCAAGAGAGGAAACUCCACAAGGAGCGGAGAA